GCCUUCGUUGUGUAGUCGUCAGCAUGCUCGACGCGUAUUCGAGAGAUCCGUGGUUCGAGUCCCGGCGAGGGCA
rnacentral:tRNA from 1 species